AGGGUUUGAUUAUGGCUCAGGAUGAACGCUAGCUACAGGCUUAACACAUGCAAGUCGAGGGGAAACGAUAUUGGAAGCUUGCUUCCGAUAGGCGUCGACCGGCGCACGGGUGAGUAACGCGUAUCCAACCUGCCCAUCACUUGGGAAUAACCUUGCGAAAGUAAGACUAAUGCCCAAUGAUAUUUAUAAAAGGCAUCCGAAAUGAAUUAAAGAUUUAUCGGUGAUGGAUGGGGUUUGCGUCUGAUUAGCUGGUUGGUGAGGUAACGGCCCACCAAGGCGACGAUCAGUAGCCGGUCUGAGAGGAUGAACGGCCACACUGGAACUGAGACACGGUCCAG
rnacentral:rRNA from 1 species